rnacentral:lncRNA from 10 species
GACAAACGAGAUUCUACCCAUGUCAGCAGACUGGAGAUUGCAGUUCUUCAAACCUGAGUGUUAGGUGUCUCAGAGCAGUAUGGAUUGCAGACAAAGGGAUUUUACUGAAACUUGAGAUCUGAAUUAAAAACCAGCCUUAGAAGUUAAUUUACAACUCUAAAGAUAAUGAGAACUUCAGAGAGGCUCACCCACCUCCUGAGUUAUGCAUGGACAUUUUGAGGGAGGUGGCAGGGGGUGCAAUACUGAGGCCCAGGACCAUGGAGGCAUCUCUUAAUUGUGAAACU